AGAGCUCAAGCCGAGAAUCGGUGCGCCAUGCGGCGUUCCGAGUUGUAGUCUCGAGAAGUGUUGUCAGCGUGUGGCCCGGGUAUAAAUCUUUUGGAACAAGGUGUCAUAGAGGGUGAGAACCCCGUCUGUGACCCGGCGCCCGCCGCGUACGACACACUUUCGCUGAGUCGCGUUGUUUGGGAUUGCAGCGCUAACUGGGUGGUAAAUUUCAUCUAAAGCUAAAUAUCGACGGGAGACCGAUAGCGAACAAGUACCGUGAGGGAAAGAUGAAAAGAACUUUGAAAAGAGAGUUAAAUAGUACUUGAAAUUGUUAAGAGGGAACCACUGGAAACCAGUGUCUUGCCCCGCGGCAUACUUACCGCUGGUGGCCGACGUUCGUGCGUUGGGGGAGCCGUUUGGCCUCUCAGCGUGCGUCGGACGGUCGCUGUCGGGUCCUGUGCCGUGGGGCGGGUCAGCAUCAGUUCUGGCGGGCGGAGGCGGCCCUUGGGGAGGUAGGUUGCUCCGAGCUUGCUCGGUGUCUUCUGUUAUAUCCCUUGGGCCCUACGUCUGCCGGGACUGAGGUUAUCGCAAGUGUACGCCUUUUGGCUGGGCCUCCCCGGUCCUGCUGCGUCCGCUGCUUGGAGCACCAAGUGCUGCAAGUGGUUCCGCGCGGUACUGGCUGGGUGAGUGCCACACGGUGCACUCGGGAUGCUGGCAAAAUGGUUUUCACUGACCCGUCUUGAAACACGGACCAAGGAGUCUAACAUGCAUGCGAGUAUUUGGGCGUGGAAACCCGAGUGCGCAAUGAAAGUGAAGGGGCCUUUCGGGGCCUCGAGGUAGGAACCCUCCCGCUUGCGGGAGUGGCGCACUAUCGACCGAUCGUUUGCUUGCGAAGGAUUUGAGUAGAAGCAUGCCUGUUGGGACCCGAAAGAUGGUGAUCUAUGCCUGAGCAGGGUGAAGCCAGGGGAAACUCUGGUGGAGGCUCGUAGCGAUACUGACGUGCAAAUCGUUCGUCUGACUUGGGUAUAGGGGCGAAAGACUAAUCGAACCAUCUAGUAGCUGGUUCCCUCCGAAGUUUCCCUCAGGAUAGCUGGAGCUUGUACAGUUUUAUCAGGUAAAGCUAAUGAUUAGAGGUUUGGGGACUGAAACAGUCUCCGCCUAUUCUCAAACUUUAAAUAGGUAAGAAGCCCUGGGAUGCUUGGUUGAUCCCGGGCCUCGAAUGGAAAGCUCUUAGUGGGCCAUUUUUGGUAAGCAGAACUGGCGAUGCGGGAUGAUCCGGACGCGCGAGUUAAGGUGCCCAAGUGCUCGCUCAUCUAGAUCCCUCAAAAGGUGUUGGGUUCAUUUUAGACAGCAGGACGGUGGU
rnacentral:rRNA from 1 species